GUGUCCUUGGUGUAACGGUAACACACAACCCAUUGGAUUGGUCUGGGGUUCGACUCCCCGAGGGCGCC